rnacentral:rRNA from 1 species
AUCGAACGCUGGCGGAAUGCUUUACACAUGCAAGUCGAACGGCAGCACGGGGGCAGCCCUGGUGGCGAGUGGCGAACGGGUGAGUAAUACAUCGGAACGUGCCCGGUCGUGGGGGAUAACGUAGCGAAAGUUACGCUAAUACCGCAUACGAUCUGAGGAUGAAAGCGGGGGACCUUCGGGCCUCGCGCGAUCGGAGCGGCCGAUGUCAGAUUAGGUAGUUGGUGGGGUAAAGGCCUACCAAGCCGACGAUCUGUAGCUGGUCGGAGAGGACGACCAGCCACACUGGAACUGAGACACGGCCCAGACUCCUACGGGAGGCAGCAGUGGGGAAUUUUGGACAAUGGGCGAAAGCCUGAUCCAGCCAUGCCGCGUGCGGGAAGAAGGCCUUCGGAUUGUAAAGUACUUUAAGGGGGAAGGAAGGGCAUUAAGCUAAUACCUGGCUGUAUUGACGUUACCAAAAGAAUAAGCACCGGCUAACUUCGUG